AGUGAACGCUGGCGGUAGGCCUAACACAUGCAAGUCGAACGGCAGCACAGUAAGAGCUUGCUCUUACGGGUGGCGGGUGGCGGACGGGUGAGGAAUACAUCGGAAUCUACUUUUUCGUGGGGGAUAACGUAGGGAAACUUACGCUAAUACCGCAUACGACCUACGGGUGAAAGCAGGGGAUCUUCGGACCUUGCGCGAUUGAAUGAGCCGAUGUCGGAUUAGCUAGUUGGCGGGGUAAAGGCCCACCAAGGCGACGAUCCGUAGCUGGUCUGAGAGGAUGAUCAGACACACUGGAACUGAGACACGGUCCAGACUCCUACGGGAGGCAGCAGUGGGGAAUAUUGGACAAUGGGCGCAAGCCUGAUCCAGCCAUACCGCGUGGGUGAAGAAGGCCUUCGGGUUGUAAAGCCCAUUUGUUGGGAAAGAAAAGCAGCAGGUUAAUACCCCGCUGUUCCGACGGUACCCAAAGAAUAAGCACCGGCUAACUUCGUG
rnacentral:rRNA from 1 species